ACUCCUACGGGAGGCAGCAGUGGGAAUAUUGCACAAUGGGGAAAGCCAUCGAUGCAGCCAUGCCGCGUGUGUGAAGAAGGCCUUCGGGUUGUAAAGCACUUUCAGUAGGGAGGAAGGUAGUGUAGUUAAUAGCUGCAUUAUUUGACGUUAGCUGCAGAAGAAGCACCGGCUAACUCCGUGCCAGCAGCCGCGGUAAUACGGAGGGUGCGAGCGUUAAUCGGAAUUACUGGGCGUAAAGCGCAUGCAGGUGGUUUGUUAAGUCAGAUGUGAAAGCCCGGGGCUCAACCUCGGAAUAGCAUUUGAAACUGGCAGACUAGAGUACU
rnacentral:rRNA from 1 species